rnacentral:lncRNA from 1 species
AGAGGGAAGAAUCAACUCCCCAUCAUGGAAAAUAAAAUGUUCAGCUGGGCAAUAAUGAAGCAAAUGAGUAAUGCCCAGAAGACACUACAGAGAAUGUCUACUGGGGACUACAAACAGCCAUCAGUAUGGUGGAUUUGCAGAAGAAACUGCCCUAAGCUGUGUGUUAAAGGUGGAUGGGAAACCGGAGGAGGGCAUGGAAGGACAGGCCAGCUUCAGAGAAGGAUUUUCCCUCUUGCCCAGGAAACCCUUGGAAAUGGAUCCGCCCUCUAGCGGUUAACAAGGGAGCUGAGGAAUAAUGGGAUUUGACAUCAUUGGAAAGCACAGCCACACCCAAAAACAGGUGUGUGCACAAGAAUUUCUGAACACAGAUUUUACCAGCUACACCCACACCCUCAAUUCUACUUGAAAUUAAUCUUAAAGAAAUUUUGAAUUUGCUGAUAAUUUGAGAUCAGUAAAGAUUUUCCCUGAAAGUUCUAAGGAAAUGCUUUAUACAUAGAUUUGUCCACCCAUGCUCAAAGAAAACCCAGAAUAAAAACCUGAAUAUAAAGCAGAUGGAUUACCAAACAUGACUGAACACAGCGAGGAAUUCAUCUUCAUUUUACUUUGGCAAUAAACGUUUCUGAUUUAGAGGACUUCGCUUGGGGUUUUGGAUUGGAUUCCAGAGGUUGGCACCUACGCUCUAAAAAAUCUAAACAGAAGGAGAAAAUAAAUCACCAACUGGCACUUUAAAGACAAAGAUUUAUACCAGAUUUAAUAAACUUCCUGUCUUGCUGAGCAUGAGGAAAAUGUCGUGUUUACCCCGAUGCUCUCUGCUCCUGGCAGCGUGUGUGCUGAGUUGGAAGGGCUGCAGAAGUGGGUCACGCUCACCCAACUGGAACUCGAAAGACUCAUAGAGAGCAAGCACUGGACAAUGGCCUGGUGUCCAUGAUGUAUCCCUGCCUGUCGUUACUAAUCCUACUCAGGGCCAAGCUGGAG